UUAUUUUUCACCAAUCCAACCAAAACAGCUUUUAAAAAAAUUGGCUAGAUUACAGUAAAUUCACUACGAAACUUACUAUAAAGUGUGAGUAAAAGUAAAUUUCUUAAAAUCAUGAACUGUCAAAAACAGGUAAGAAAAAGUCUCAUUCACAGCCCAUAAGUGAAUACUAAUAUUACGAGCUACUAUCUACGUUCCAUUUGGGAUUAGUGAAGUAUUCUUGACUAAAGACAUUCUAAAUAGUACUUGAGAAAUUUGACUCUUAUUUUGAAAACAGAAGAAGUAUUUUGUGAGUUGAUGAAUGACAUCAUAUGACCAUUAACAUAUUUCGGACAGUUUUUAUGGUAGCAGAUUAAAAAAAAAACAGUGAUAGUGUAUGGCAGACUGUAUAAGGGUAAUAUUUACGGAUUGUGUGAGUGCAGGACAAUGAUUAGCUACUUCACAAUUAUGUCGUGAAGUAGCUACGGUGUGGAUAUACUACACUGAGCUGUGAGCAGGGUUUUCUAAUAGCACAGUUGCAGAUUUAUGAAACUUUUAUUCCAUUUGCCAAACAUAAAGAGAAUAAUUGUAUUGUUUUUUUUUUCUGCACAAAGUCAAGCUAAAAUUAUUCAAAACUAAAGCCACAUCAAAUCAAAGUUCUGCAACGGUUACAAAUUUUUUAAAAACACAGCAUGUGAAUUGUAGACAAUUCCCUCUAUUUGUGUAAACUAACAAACCCAACUUCUUUACGCCACUGAUGUAGGUUGAUGAUGUAGGUUAUGCUACUUUCAACCGGGCAAGUCCUCGUUAAUAAAUGUUUAGUUUGCCAAAGCCUGUUUGUUUAAACCGGAAGCGCUAUGAAGUUAAUGAACAGCAGCCUUGGAAUCGGUAGUAGCUUUAAAAGAAAAAAAACUGCGGGUAAAAUAAAUCCGAGUAGGUGGGUGGUGACUUAUUAACUCUCAGAAACCCUCCAGACUUUGUUGGGAGUUAAUGUUAGAUUUUUCACCAAGCCGCAGUCUCUGAACACCAACCUAUAAAAGUCCCAUGCUGGAAACUCUGAUGGCUUGAAGCGCGACACAUUUAUCCACAGAAUCAGAACGGAGUUGUGUUUUACUGAUGGAAGGAUUGCAAACAUGCGGACAGCACACACACACAGAAGACGUAUUCUUCUGUUUCUGGUCGGUGCGACAGAAAGUGUGCGUCAAGACUAUUCUGGCUCUCCUGAACAAAGCCAAAGAGGCCUGCUGCAGAAGUGAGUCAGUGUUUGAAAUACCACUGACUCAUUUUUGACUCUAGUGGAAUGCCAAGUGGAAGCUAAACUAAAUGAUUUUGUAGCUCUGUAAUUGUUCGUGGAACACAGAGCAUGUUGAGCUGAGACAAAUCUUUAGCACAACGCGAGAGAGGAAACUUGAAGUUGCUCUCUAAGGCAAACUAUGACAGGUUUCACUGUGGUUUUGGACGGCGGUGGUUUCAUCAAGUGUAAACCAAUAAAAUGACAGAGCUCGGACUGCUAAAGCCACGCUCUGCUAUCAGAAAAUGUGGUGAAAUUCAUCAUAAGAAAGAGAGAGAGAGAGGGAAAAAGAGCCCCUAAGGGCUGGAAUAAAUAAAACUCCUAAAGCUCCAAGCUGCUUUCUGUCCACUUUUAGCCACCAUCCUGCUGGAGGUUUGUGUUUUGAAGAAUGAAAGUGGCCACACAGGAGGACAGGAAGGACCGUUGGGGCGACCCGGCUCAGCUGCGUGAAAACUCCCACAGUGUUUCCCAUUGUGCUGUCAUGGCACACAGGCUGCGUCUUCCUGAUGUGGGCUGUGAGCCACCUUCUCCGACACAUGGUCAGACACAAGUUAAUACACAGAGAGCGACCAAGGUGAUUUAGAAACCACACAGUCGCAUGUUUGGUCACUCCCUCACAUGACCAAAAAUACACGAAAUCCAGGAUUUUUUUUUUUUUUUUAAUUUGUAAAACUUUUCAUUUCCCACCUCGCAUCGCUCAGAGUUCAUAAACUGUCACAUCCUCUCUGCUGUUUCUUUGUGUUUCUUUUCUUUUUCAAGCUCCUCUAGGCAUACUCACAGACCUAUAAUCUGACCCCGCCCUCCUCCCCUCACCCUGUCAUUACACCCCGUUGGCUAAGAUGCCAUUCUGUUCCCGUGGCAACCCUCUAAUUAAGCCAACCCCAACCACAGAGGAGGCUGGAGCAAACGGAGGGGGGCGGGGCCUGAUGUGGUCAGGAAGGGGGAGGAGCCUUUCAGAACACAAAACCUUUCCAACGAUUGUGGAUUUUGUUUUUCAAAACCCCUCCAUGUUUUCCCUGCAGUCUCGGUGCGGCGCUCGGAGGACGUUAAAGUCGGCAGCGGUCGGUUCUUUUCUGAGGUUGGAUGGGAAACAACAUGAUAGUGUUUACUCAUGGUUGAGGCCAGAUGAAUUAGAUGACAAGCUAUUGAAAUAGCUGUGAAAGUAAAGAUGUGGUCAAAAAACAACAAAAAAACAACAACGGUUCCAAAUGGAGCGUCCAAAGGAAAAAAAAAAAAAGAGUGCUAUCACCUUUUUACCAGAAGGUAAAAAUUAAGAUUGUUAUCUCAGAUCAUUUUAUAAUCUAAAGAAACAAUUAUAAUUGACAGAGGCAGUCAUUGAGGUGACAGUCAAAAAAAAAAAAAAAAUCCUAAACACAAAUUCAGCCAUUAGUGAAGGUUAGAACUGAUCACACCAAAGUCUUAAGCUCUUUGAAAGACUAAAAACUUGGCCUGAACUUGCCACUCAAAGACUUUGAACUUGACCGGGACUUGGGAAAAACUACUAGUUCCUUUAGCCCCUCUUCAAAUAGACAAGACAAUAGAACAUGUCAGGAAAUGGCAACAAGAAAACAGCAACUCCCUUUGAACGCGACUACAGCUCAAAAAUUAAGUAGUUUAAGCAACUGGAAGCACUUAAACUUGAGCUCUUUUUACAGCAUAAUGGAAAACAAUAAUGAUCUUGGGGUUAAAACUAGGAGUUUUUCCCAAGU